rnacentral:rRNA from 1 species
UGGGGAAUAUUGGACAAUGGGGGAAACCCUGAUCCAGCCAUGCCGCGUGUGUGAAGAAGGCCUUUUGGUUGUAAAGCACUUUAAGCAGUGAAGAAGACUCUUCGGUUAAUACCCGGAGACGAUGACAUUAGCUGCAGAAUAAGCACCGGCUAACUCUGUGCCAGCAGCCGCGGUAAUACAGAGGGUGCAAGCGUUAAUCGGAAUUACUGGGCGUAAAGGGAGCGUAGGUGGCUCUAUAAGUCAGAUGUGAAAUCCCCGGGCUUAACCUGGGAACUGCAUCUGAAACUGUAGAGCUAGAGUAUGUGAGAGGGAGGUAGAAUUUCAGGUGUAGCGGUGAAAUGCGUAGAGAUCUGAAGGAAUACCGAUGGCGAAGGCAGCCUCCUGGCAUAAUACUGACACUGAGGCUCGAAAGCGUGGGUAGCAAACAGG